rnacentral:rRNA from 1 species
AUUGAACGCUGGCGGCAGGCUUAACACAUGCAAGUCGAGCGAGCGGCGGACGGGUGAGUAAUGUCUGGGAAACUGCCUGAUGGAGGGGGAUAACUACUGGAAACGGUAGCUAAUACCGCAUACCAUCAGAUGUGCCCAGAUGGGAUUAGCUAGUAGGUGGGGUAAUGGCUCACAUAGGCGCCGAUCCCUAGCUGGUCUGAGAGGAUGACCAGCCACACUGGAACUGAGAAACGGUCCAGACUCCUACGGGAGUCAGCAGUGGUGAAUAUUGCACAAUGGGCGCAAGCCUGAUGCAGACAUGCCGCAUAUGUAAGGAAGGCCUUCGGGUUGUAAAGCACGUUCAGCGAGAAGACGUUACUAGCAGAAGAAGCACCGGCUAACUCCGUGCCAGCCGCCGCGGUAAUUC